GACUACCGGGGUAUCUAAGCCCGUUCGCUCCCCUGGCUUUCGUGUCUCAGUGUCAGUUCACCCCCAGCGAGCUGUCUUCACCAUUGGCGUUCCAAGUGAUAUCUACGCAUUUCACCGCUCCACCACUUGUUCCGCUCGCCCCUGAGUGCCUCAAGACUGGCAGUAUACCGAGCAGUUCCACAGUUGAGCUGUGGGAUUUUACAAGGUACUUACCGAUCCACCUACACACGCUUUAAGCCCAGUGAUUCCGCCUAACGCUCGUGGCCUCUGUAUUACCGCGACUGCUGGCACAGAGUUAGUCGCCACUUAUAGUCUGCUGAUCAGAACUUUCUAACAGAUUUUAGAAGUUUACAUUCCGAAGAACUUCAUCCUUCACUCGGCGUCGCUCCGUCACACUUUCGUGCAUUGCGGAAGAUUCCUUACUGCAGCCCCCCGUAGG
rnacentral:rRNA from 1 species